UACAGAGGUCUCAAGCGUUGUUCGGAUUCAUUGGGCGUAAAGGGUGCGUAGGUGGCGCCAUAAGUCGGGUGUGAAAUUUCGGAGCUUAACUCCGAAACUGCAUUCGAUACUGUGGUGCUUGAGGACUGGAGAGGAGACUGGAAUUCACGGUGUAGCAGUGAAAUGCGUAGAGAUCGUGAGGAAGACCAACGGCGAAAGCAGGCCUCUGGAAAUUUCCUGACACUGAGGCUCGAAGGCCAGGGGAGCAAACGGG
rnacentral:rRNA from 1 species